GACGAACGCUGGCGGCGUGCUUAACACAUGCAAGUCGAACGGAAAGGCCUCUUUCGGGGGGUACUCGAGUGGCGAACGGGUGAGUAACACGUGAGUAACCUGCCCUUGACUUUGGGAUAACUUCAGGAAACUGGGGCUAAUACCGGAUAGGAGCUCCUGCUGCAUGGUGGGGGUUGGAAAGUUUCGGCGGUUGGGGGUGGGCUCGCGGCUUAUCAGCUUGUUGGUGGGGUAGUGGCUUACCAAGGCUUUGACGGGUAGCCGGCCUGAGAGGGUGACCGGCCACAUUGGGACUGAGAUACGGCCCAGACGCCUACGGGAGGCAGCAGUGGGGAAUAUUGCACAAUGGGUGGAAGCCUGAUGCAGCAACGCCGUGUGCGGGAUGACGGCCUUCGGGUUGUAAACCGCUUUCGCUCAUGACGAAGCUUUGUGUGACGGUAGUGGGUAAAGAAGCACCGGCUAACUACGUG
rnacentral:rRNA from 1 species